GGGCUUGUGUCCGAUUAGCUGGUUGGUAGGGUAAAGGCUUACCAAGGCGAUGAUCGGUAGCUGGUUUGAGAGGACGAUCAGCCACACUGGGAUUGAGGUACGGCCCAGACUCCUACGGGAGGCAGCAGCAAGGAAUAUUGUGCAAUGGGCGAAAGCCUGACACAGCGACGCCGCGUGGGGGAUGAAGGCUUUCGGGUUGUAAACCCCUUUUCUCAGGGAAGUGACGGUACCUGAGGAAUAAGUCACGGCUAACUACGUGCCAGCAGCCGCGGUAAUACGUAGGUGGCGAGCGUUAUCCGGAUUUACUGGGUGUAAAGAGGGCGCAGGCGGCUUUUCAAGUCGAAUAUAAAAUCUCCCGGCUUAAGAGGGAGGGACUAUUCGAUACUGUUGGGCUAGAGGGCAGCAGGGGGAGGUGGAAUUCCCGGUGUAGUGGUGAAAUGCGUAGAU
rnacentral:rRNA from 1 species